UGAGUACGAGCUGCUACGGCAGCGAAGUGGGUGAUGUCAAGCUUCCAAGAAAAGCCCUAUACCCGUUAAGGCAUGAUGGCCUGUACCCGAAACCGACACAGGUGGGGUGGUAGAGAAUACCGAGGGGCGCGAGGUAACUCUCUCUAAGGAACUCGGCAAAAUGGCCCCGUAACUUCGGGGGAAGGGGUGCCACCGCAAGGUGGUCGCAGUGAAGAGGCCCAGGCGACUGUUUACCAAAAACACAGGUCUCCGCUAAGUCGCAAGACGAUGUAUGGGGGCUGACGCCUGCCCAGUGCCGGAAGGUUAAGGAAGCUGGUCAGCGCAAGCGAAGCUGGCGACUGAAGCCCCGGUGAACGGCGGCCGUAACUAUAACGGUCCUAAGGUAGCGAAAUUCCUUGUCGGGUAAGUUCCGACCCGCACGAAAGGCGUAACGAUCUGGGCGCUGUCUCGGAGAGAGGCUCGGCGAAAUAGAAUUGUCUGUGAAGAUGCGGACUACGUGCACCCGGACAGAAAGACCCUAUGAAGCUUUACUGUAGCUUGGUAUUGUGCCCGGGCUCUGAAUGCGCAGGAUAGGUGGGAGGCUUUGAUCCAUUGCUUGUGGGUAAUGGUGAGCCAACGGUGAGAUACCACUCUUUCAGAGCUAGGGUUCUAACGGUCACCCGUUAUCCGGGGACCGGACAGUAUCAGGUGGGCAGUUUGACUGGGGCGGUCGCCUCCUAAAAGGUAACGGAGGCGCGCAAGGGUUCCCUCAGGCUGGUUGGAAAUCAGCCGACGAGUGUAAAGGCAGAAGGGAGCUUGACUGUGAGACCUACAAGUCGAACAGGGACGAAAGUCGGCCUUAGUGAUCCGACGGUUCUGAGUGGAAGGGCCGUCGCUCAACGGAUAAGAGUUACUCUAGGGAUAACAGGCUGAUCUCCCCCAAGAGUUCACAUCGACGGGGAGGUUUGGCACCUCGGUGUCGGCUCAUCGCAACCUGGGGCUGAAGUCGGUCCCAAGGGUUGGGCUGUUCGCCCAUUAAAGCGGUACGCGAGCUGGGUUCAGAACGUCGUGAGACAGUUCGGUCCAUAUCCGGUGCAUGCGCAGGAAUAUUGAGAGGAUUUCUCCCUAGUACGAGAGGACCAGGAGGAACGCACCUCUGGUGUGCCAGUUAUCGUGCCAACGGUAAACGCUGGGUAGCCAUGUGCGGAGAGGAUAACCGCUGAAAGCAUCUAAGUGGGAAGCCCACCUCAAGAUGAGUAUUCCCAUGGCGUUAGCCAGUAAGGUCACGGGCAGAACACCCGUUGAUAGGCUCUACGUGGAAGCCGGGCAACCGGUGAAGCGGAGGAGUACUAAUAGACCGAGGGCUUGACC
rnacentral:rRNA from 1 species